GUCCUCAUGGUCCACUCUUAAGGACUAUGUCCUCGUGCAAGUUUGUCGAAAUGAUGACGACGGAAGUCUGAAGUAUGUGUCCCUCCUAAAAAGUGUCAGCCCGUGCCAUCAAGAAGUGAAAGAGCUCCUGAGAAGACUGUGCAACCCUGGCCUGGAUGGAGACAAGAAAGUCAACGCACUCAGGAGAGGA